CUUCGUUUCCUUUGUUUUCUCAGUCGGAGGAGAUUUACGAACUAAAAUUUUCUCUAGGUUGCACUAUGACUUGUUUCUUUUUCACCUGGAAGGAGCUUUGAGAUUCGAGAGCGUUUUCUUCUCUUCUUCUUAUUCUAGAUCUGGUUUCAAGUUUCAAGCCAUUGUUUUCCAAGAAAACUGAGAGAUGAGUGAGAUCGAGAACAGCAGAGAUAAAUCAGAUGGAGUGGAAUUUGAAUUAGGGGUUGGUUUGAAUAAAUCGCUGAGCAGCUGAUGAAUUUGGGAGGUCUGAGAUGGUGAUGAACACAUGAUGAAAUAGAGAUGGAAGAUAAGAUUCUGCUGCUGUGUUUUGAUUUAGAAGACAUGGGUUUAGAGCAGAUUCGCAGAUGGAUGAGUUGCUGCUAUGAAGAAGGUUCUGUGGAUUGUAUGGAAGAUUCGAGUUGGGUUUGUGGCUGAUUGUGAAAGAAUUAGGGCUUUAGUUAUUUCCCCAAAUCAGGGAUGGUCAAAAUCGGGUUAGUAAUACUGUUGAUUCUCGUUACUUCAAUGUAUUUGGUACCGUUGGUCAAAAUUGGAUAAAUGUUUACCAAUGCCUUGAAGGAGGAGUGAUUGCUGUUCUACAGUCUUAUGUUGAUGAAGAUGUAAGUAAAGAUUUCUUUCUUAUUUUUUUUCUUUGAACGAUGAUGGAGCUACCAUCUGAUGCAUGUCUGGUUUGGUCAUGUGUUGUUUAGUUCAGAAGGAAGAGUCAUUCUAUACUUUGAGUUGGGCUUGUAAUAUUGAUGGGAAUCCAUUGUUAGUUGCUGCUGGACUCAAUGGAAUUAUACGUGUUAUUCAACCAAAAUAAAUUUCUCAUUCUAUAUUUUGAGUCAUUCAUAGAGAAACGAAAUUCUCUUUUCCUUCAACUAAAAUAAAUUUAUUUUAUUUCUGAGUUGGACAAUGAUGAUACUCGGUUUGCUAGCAAUCAUAGAGAAGCUGCCAGGGAGAUUUCUAAUGAUUUGGGUACAGAUGAGGAUGUCUUAAGGGUUUGUUGUUUUCCCUUAAUUAGCUAUUUGAAUUCACAAGAUCUUCUGUCUGUUCGAAGCGUCUGCAAAUUAUUGCGCUCCACUGUCCGGGGUGAUGCUCUUUUAUAUACUGAUCAUCCAUUAAAUGAGUGGGUUACAGACGAUGGUUUUCUGCAAUUAGCUAGCAGGGCUCAAGGAAGCUUGAGAACUUUGAGUAAACACCGCGUGUGUGGGAAUCCACAUGCUAUCAUCAGAAAGUAUGGACUGAUGUGCCGCAGGCAGUGCUUCCGUAGCAAUGCCAAGGAGAUCGGUUUCAUCAAGGUGAGCUGUCUACAAGCAAUUGAGAUUUUGUGGUAAAUUUGAUCAUACACUUGGUUAGAUGAGUUUUUGUGGCAAUUCCAUAAUAUAUGUAACAUUUCAGAGGUUGUGUUUUCUGAAAAUAAAGUUCUGAAUUGGUUUUUUCUUAUCUUGUACACAUCUCUCAGCAAAGUAGACCCUGUGGUAGGUGUUUGAAUGGAAUUUGUCAUUUUGUUGUCA